UUAUAACGUAAUCAUAAUUUGUUUUUUUAGCGCGACUGGAUUGAAAAAUCGGAUGGAAAAGAGACAUUUGUUACAAAAUACAUCAAGCUAUUACAACAUGUCCUUGGUAUUACGUUUCAAAUGACAGUUUGGUUAAGAACGUCAGACAUCGCCAUCAUCGGUGGUCCUAUAAGAAAAAGUUAUAUGUCCUAUUCUUCUUCUAUAAUUGACACUUCAACUACAUUUACAAUAAGUGCUGCAAGACCUUUACCAAAAGCAGUUUCUUUAAUUAAACCU
rnacentral:lncRNA from 1 species